rnacentral:rRNA from 1 species
GACGAACGCUGGCGGCGCGCCUAACACAUGCAAGUCGAACGGAGCUGAGAGGAGCUUGCUUUUCUCAGCUUAGUGGCGAACGGGUGAGUAACGCGUGAGUAACCUGCCCUGGAGUGGGGGACAACAGUUGGAAACGACUGCUAAUACCGCAUAAGCCCACGGAUCCGCAUGGAUCUGCGGGAAAAGGAUUUAUUCGCUUCAGGAUGGACUCGCGUCCAAUUAGCUAGUUGGUGAGGUAACGGCCCACCAAGGCGACGAUUGGUAGCCGGACUGAGAGGUUGAACGGCCACAUUGGGACUGAGACACGGCCCAGACUCCUACGGGAGGCAGCAGUGGGGGAUAUUGCACAAUGGGGGAAACCCUGAUGCAGCGACGCCGCGUGGAGGAAGAAGGUUUUCGGAUUGUAAACUCCUGUCGUUAGGGACGAUAAUGACGGUACCUAACAAGAAAGCACCGGCUAACUACGUAGCCAGCAGCCG